UAGAGUUUGAUCCUGGCUCAGAGCGAACGUUAGCGGCGGGCCUAACACAUGCAAGUCGAACGCGAAAGUCCCGCAAGGGAUAAGUAGAGUGGCAAACGGGUGAGUAACACGUGGGUGACCUGCCUUCGAGCGGGGGAUAACGUCCCGAAAGGGACGCUAAUACCGCAUAACAUCCUGCCUUUGAAGAGGCGGUGAUCAAAGCUGGGGAUCGCAAGACCUAGCACUCGAAGAGGGGCCCGCGUCCGAUUAGCUAGUUGGUGAGGUAACGGCUCACCAAGGCUAAGACGGGUAGCUGGUCUGAGAGGAUGAUCAGCCACACUGGGACUGCGACACGGCCCAAACUCCUACGGGAGGCAGCAGUGGGGAAUAUUGGGCAAUGGGCGAAAGCCUGACCCAGCCACGCCGCGUGAGUGAUGAAGGCCUUCGGGUC
rnacentral:rRNA from 1 species